UACGUAGGGGGCGAGCGUUGUCCGGAUUUAUUGGGCGUAAAGAGCUCGUAGGCGGUUGGGUAAGUCGGGUGUGAAAACUCAGGGCUCAACUCUGAGACGCCACUCGAUACUGCCCUGACUCGAGUCCGGAAGAGGAGAGUGGAAUUCCUGGUGUAGCGGUGAAAUGCGCAGAUAUCAGGAGGAACACCCGUGGCGAAAGCGUCUCUCUGGGACGGUACUGACGCUGAGACGCGAAAGCGUGGGGAGCAAACAGG
rnacentral:rRNA from 1 species